GUGUCAGCCGCCGCGGUAAUACGGAGGGUGCGAGCGUUGUUCGGAAUCAUUGGGCGUAAAGGGCGUGCAGGCGGUUGGGUAAGUCUGAUGUGAAAGCCCGGGGCUCAACCCCGGAAGUGCAUUGGAAACUGUCCGACUUGAGUACCGGAGAGGAUGGGGGAAUUCCCGGUGUAGAGGUGAAAUUCGUAGAGAUCGGGAGGAAUACCAGUGGCGAAGGCGCCCAUCUGGACGGAUACUGACGCUGAGACGCGAAAGCGUGGGGAGCAAACAGGAUUAGAUACCCUGGUAGUCCACGCUGUAAACGAUGAGCACUAGGUGUAGCGGGUAUUGACCCCUGCUGUGCCGCAGCUAACGCAUUAAGUGCUCCGCCUGGGGAUUACGGUCGCAAGACUAAA
rnacentral:rRNA from 1 species